UACGAAGGGGGCUAGCGUUGCUCGGAAUCACUGGGCGUAAAGCGCACGUAGGCGGCUUUCUAAGUCAGGGGUGAAAUCCUGGAGCUCAACUCCAGAACUGCCUUUGAUACUGGAAAGCUUGAGUUCGGGAGAGGUGAGUGGAACUGCGAGUGUAGAGGUGAAAUUCGUAGAUAUUCGCAAGAACACCGGUGGCGAAGGCGGCGACCUGGGUCGACACUGACGCUGAGGCGCGAAAGCGUGGGGAGCAAACAGG
rnacentral:rRNA from 1 species